ACACACACACACACACCAUGUGAGCAUGAAGGAAGAGCUGAGAAGCAAUCCCAGAGACAAGGGGAAAGGCACCAAGCAAGACCCUUCUUGUCGUCAGAAGGAGCAGACCCAUACUGUACUUUUUUGUUGGAUUUCCAGCCUCAGAGUCCCACUCCUACCCUGUUCUGUGCCGGUUAGGGAAGAAGAACUUCUGUUGUGUCCAUGAACAGAGAACAGCAGCGGUCUCUAACUUCCGCACAGGGGAACCUGCAGGUGUUGGAGACAGUGGAAUGGCCUCGGAUGAUGAAUCAGGGAGGCUGUGUCCUCUGCUCUCUGGCCCUCCACCGUUCAUUCUCCUGUGUAAGUGCCAGUGUGUGUUUCUUUCUCCAGCCUCACGCUCUAAACAAGAUGCCUCUGGCAGAGGCCCGGGUAGAUGGAGUCUCUCAAGUCCAGUACAACUUCAUUGUCCCUGACUUAUGAAGAGAGCUGGAAGGAGUGACAGAAAGGCCAUGAGGAGACCUGGUUUCUUGAACCAUAUGAAUCAGUGCCCACCAAGUGUCCUGCAGAGACCCUGUUGCUGGCCCUGGCCCGGGCCCUGUGCCGGCUGACAUCUACUUUAAGUCGAAGUGUUUACUCAUCAAGACGUCUUUGCCGACACGCACACUUGCCUGAAGACAUCACGCACACAUGCGUAAGCACUCACGUGGACCCGAGGGUUUGCAGCCUCACAGGAACAGUGCUCGUGGAGGAAGUCCUGUGUGACUCAUUCUGUUUGUGUGCUUGGCUGAUGUUUCCGGUUUCCAUGUAAUUUGCUCCUUUUGUAUCAAGACAGAAGUAACGGUG
rnacentral:lncRNA from 1 species